GAUGAACGCUGGCGGCGUGCCUAAUACAUGCAAGUCGAGCGAACAGACGAGGAGCUUGCUCCUCUGACGUUAGCGGCGGACGGGUGAGUAACACGUGGAUAACCUACCUAUAAGACUGGGAUAACUUCGGGAAACCGGAGCUAAUACCGGAUAAUAUAUUGAACCGCAUGGUUCAAUAGUGAAAGACGGUUUUGCUGUCACUUAUAGAUGGAUCCGCGCCGCAUUAGCUAGUUGGUAAGGUAACGGCUUACCAAGGCGACGAUGCGUAGCCGACCUGAGGGGGUGAUCGGCCACACUGGAACUGAGACACGGUCCAGACUCCUACGGGAGGCAGCAGUAGGGAAUCUUCCGCAAUGGGCGAAAGCCUGACGGAGCAACGCCGCGUGAGUGAUGAAGGUCUUCGAAUCGUAAAACUCUGUUAUUAGGGAAGAACAAAUGUGUAAGUAACUAUGCACGUCUUGACGGUACCUAAUCAGAAAGCCACGGCUAACUACGUG
rnacentral:rRNA from 1 species